CAAGACCAUGCAGUGUGGUGGUUAUAUCCAGGAGACAUGAGGGGAGGCCUAAUAAAGAGACAACUGAGUGGCCUGGAUUGGUUCUAUGAAGAAUGCAAAACAAUCCUGGGCCAUCUCAGAGUAAGCUGCACUCAUGGUGCCUCUUGAACCCAUGUCCUGUUAUUGUUGGUGUGGAACAUGAGUGUCUGGGCCAAUGAAAAUAAGGAAGGCAGCUUGACAGACACAGAUUUUAUCUUUUGAGAUUCGUCAUGACCUUUCUAGUGUUUAAUAAAUAAAGUUGACUCAGGAAUUGGCAAGUGCCCUAUAACAUGCAGUCCCGGUGUCGGGACUCGGCAGAAUGUUCUGCUUAGCAAUGCACUCUGUGAGCUUUGUUUGCCAAGUUCCUAUUUUGGAGGUGUGCUGAAGGGCUGAGCAAUGGCAGAUGCUGAACCUUCUGCAGGCAGGUGCACUGGGCCCAGCAUCUCUGCCCAUGCUGAUCCAGGCUGGAUGAAGGUCAUGCUGAUGCAAACUUUAAUUGCUGGGCAAGAAAAAGAAAAGGCAUGUCUUGCAAAGUAAGAAUGCUGCUUGCACUGGUGCAAAUCCUGGGGCAAGGAGAACUUCCAUCCUUUCUCAUUACUGUAUAACCCAUCAAGCAUUUCAAUCAGCACCGAACAGUAUUGCUUCCUGUAUUGCCUUUUGAGCAGCUCUGCCAUGCACUGUGGAUCCUGCGAUAUUAAACAUCUCCAUCAUCCAGAGGAUGUGGCCAAUUUUGCAGGUGACAGGAAUGGCAGCUCUGAGGCUUGCCUGCUGCCGGUGAAUCCCUGCCAAGCCAUCUCUGCUAACUGAUUGAGAGCAAUCACAGCCAGGUUUCCUGAGCUAACCCUGGUGGCAGGGGCAGCAAAACACAGUGCUCCAUUGAAAACAACUGGGAAUCGUUUACUGCUAAACUUGAAGCCAUUCUGUGAUGGUAACAUAUCAGACUGAAGUUACUCUGCAGAGCAAAAACGCGCUGGAGAGGUGGAGAAGGACCAGCACUUGAUCUGGAAGCACCACGCGGGACUUACGAUCCUCCCAGGACGAGUUUGAUGGUUUUCUUCCCAUCAGAAGCAUGAGGCUGUGCUCUGGGGUCAGGAUGUCGGUGACACACAGAUGACACGGAGCACUGAAGCCUGCGUGUGAAUCAGGUGGCUGCUGUGCACCGGAUGUGUGCCCGUGCUGCAAAACACGUGUCCUUGUUGUGCUUCCUCGAGAGAUGCAUCUGCUGAUGUCAGCUUCCAGGUAAGGCACGCAGGAACCCGCUUCGUGUUGGCAUCUGUGGCCUCUGCCCUCUCCUGGUCCUAAGGAAGUUAAAAGUGACCUAAGGUUGUUUUUCUCUGAGCCGUGGCUAAUGCUGCAGAUGGGGAAGCAAUGGCAAUUUUCCAGCAGGUGAGACCCUCCAGGCCAUCUAGCCAGACAAGAAAAAUAAACACAGGAAAUAGCAUCCGUGCAGUCAGAUAACUGAGAAACAAGCGGCUGGGAGCAAUUCGGCUGUGUGUGUGUCGGGGGGACGGAGCUUGGAGCAAGCAGAUGUCAGGCCUUGUUACGGGGAAAGGGCCUGGAUGUGGGUGAGCUAGUGCUUGCUAAGGGCAAAGACUGGAUGUUACCCUUGUCUUUCUGUCCCAGAAUCAGUACUUGUGUCUCUGCCUACAUAGACACUGCUCAGUCUCACCCGUGAAACCCAUUCCCUGCACUCCUGUUGGCCUCUGCUGUGUGGCAUGUCUGCAGGCCCUGUGUGCUUCUCAGCUUUGUCCCCAGUGGUAUUGCUGGGCAGUGUUGUGGUGAGGCAUCUGCUGCUCCAUCCUGUGCUCAGAGAGAUGGAGGAACCACCUGCGGUGCUCGAAAUAGCUCUGCCUGGGCAAUGCAACCCAAGUGGUGUUGGUAGAGGGAGGCAUUCCCAUGCCUCAUAAAGAGGCUUUUGUUGGGAGGAUCUAAGCUGAGCUCCAUGCCUUGCCAGCUGUGGAGAGGAGCAGAUGGGUCUGCAGUAUAAAAAUAGAUGGAAGCAGACUUGUUCUGCUUCUUUUCUUCACCAGCACAGUCCCAGAGGUGCCUGGUCAUCUGAACCAGCACAGGGAACUGGGUGCUUUGCAGCUGCUAGUCUGCCUGGAGCCCACUAGCUAUUGUCAGAGACAGGAAUUUAUCUCUGUCCAGUCCCAUUCCCUCUACAGCUGCCG
ensembl:lncRNA